rnacentral:rRNA from 1 species
AGAGUUUGAUCAUGGCUCAGAAUCAACGCUGGCGGCGUGCCUAACACAUGCAAGUCGAACGAGAAAGUGGAGCAAUCCAUGAGUACAGUGGCGCACGGGUGAGUAACACGUGACUAACCUACCCUUGAGUGGGGGAUAACUGAGGGAAACCUUAGCUAAUACCGCAUAAUACCUACGGGUCAAAGGAGCAAUUCGCUUAAGGAGGGGGUCGCGGCCGAUUAGUUAGUUGGCGGGGUAAUGGCCCACCAAGACGAUGAUCGGUAUCCGGCCUGAGAGGGCGCACGGACACACUGGAACUGAAACACGGUCCAGACUCCUACGGGAGGCAGCAGUGGGGAAUUUUGCGCAAUGGGGGAAACCCUGACGCAGCAACGCCGCGUGGAGGAUGAAGUCCCUCGGGACGUAAACUCCUUUCGAUCGGGACGAUUAUGACGGUACCGGAAGAAGAAGCCCCGGCUAACUUCGUGCCAGCAGCCGCGGUAAUACGAGGGGGGCGAGCGUUGUUCGGAAU